rfam:Ailuropoda melanoleuca scaffold1214_34, whole genome shotgun sequence.
AUAAAGGUUCUUUUUUUAGAACCACCUAAAUAUUUAUUUUAAAAAUUG